rnacentral:lncRNA from 10 species
GCCCAUUCUCUUAAACAUUUCGCUGGAGAUUUGUUCUCAGCCUAAGAGAAGUCUAGAGCAUGGCAAGAAUACACCAGCAGGAGGUUCUGCCUCUGUAGCUCUGGACAGUUACAGCCAGGCCCUUCACAGGACUCCUGCUCAGAAAUGAUGGAGCCAUCCUUGCUGCUGGAUGUGACCUGCCUCCACCCCUUGCUGAUGUGGGUCCCUGCUGGAAUCUCCACUCUGCCUGCACCUCCCCCAUCGAUGCUCUGGUUCACUCACAAAGGUAUCCUUCAAAGAGAGAGACUUGACUGCAGAACAGAGGACGGCAAUGUGACAUCAAAAGAAGACACUGGAGAGUUGUGGCCAGGAGCCAAGGAAUGCUGCCAACCACCUUAGAUGCUAGAAGAGCCAAGGAACAGGUUCUCCUCUGGGGCCCUCAGAAAGAACCACCUCUGUUAACACCUUGAUAUUAGCCCUGUGAGACUCAUUUUGGACUUCUGACCUCCAGCAUUUAAGAGAAUAAAUGUGUGUUGCUUUAAGCCACGAAACUUGUGGUAAUUUGUUAUAGCAGCAAUAGGAAACUAAUACAGUGCUAUUCAGCCCAAUCUUCCAGUGUAGUCCUGAUGCCAAAACAAGUGUCCCGUGGACUCCAUAGAUACACCAGAAUUUGUCACUGUCCCAGUAUAGAGUCAGGAAACCACAUCUCUAUUUCCAUAGUGUUACCACUGAGGAGAAUCCUGAAGUUCAGAGAGGGGAAGUGACUGCUUAAAAUCCAUCCUAAAUUCACAAUGAUGAAGAUAGGACUCAAAUCCAGUGCCUCUUGCUUCCAUAUGAAUC